AUGCCUAUAAUCAACCUCCUACUACUUAUAUCUACUCUGGCUGCCGUAACAUUCCCUACACUCAUUGAAUGAAAAAUUCUAGGCUACAUACAACUAUGCAAAGGAUCCAAUAUUUUAGGCCCCUAUGGACUAUUUCAACCAUUUGCUGAUGCAAUAAAACUUUUCACUAAAGAGACCCUAAAACCCUCAUCAUCUACUGUUACCCUUUACACUAUUGCUCCAACCCUAGCCCUUUCUAUUGCCCUUUUCUUAUGAACCCCACUGCCUAAACCAAAUCCCUUAAUUUUAAUUUCAGCCUCCUAUUUAUUCAUAGUA
rnacentral:lncRNA from 10 species